rnacentral:misc_RNA from 1 species
AAGUCGUAACAAGGUUUCCGUAGGUGAACCUGCGGAAGGAUCAUUAAGAGUGCGAGCUUGGCGUAAGCCGAGCGAGCAGAGAGAGGGUGUGGUAUUGAUGGGGGAUGGUGGAGUAUUACUACUCCACUGUCCUUUUUCAUUAACAUUGCGAUUUUCAAACAAGUAUGAGCAAGUGAUUACGACACACAACUGUCACCGGUGGAUCUCUUGGCUCGU